rnacentral:rRNA from 1 species
GACGAACGCUGGCGGCGUGCUUAACACAUGCAAGUCGAACGGAAAGGCCCUGCUUUUGUGGGGUGCUCGAGUGGCGAACGGGUGAGUAAAACGUGAGUAACCUGCCCUUGACUUUGGGAUAACUUCAGGAAACUGGGGCUAAUACCGGAUAUGAGCUCCUGCUGCAUGGUGUGGGUUUGAAAGUUUCGGCGGUUGUGGAUGUACUCGCGGCUUAUCAGCUUGAUGGUUGGGUAGUGGCUUACCAAGUCUUUGACGGGUAGCCGGCCUGAGAGGGUGACCGGCCACAUUGGGACUGAGAUACGGCCCAGACUCCUACGGGAGGCAGCAGGGGGGAAUAUUGCACAAUGGGCGGAAGCCUGAUGCAGCAACGCCGCGUGCGGGAUGACGGCCUUCGGGUUGUAAACCGCUUUCGCCUGUGACGAAGCGUGAGUGACGGUAAUGGGUAAAGAAGCACCGGCUAACUACGUG